GGGUUUAGCCCGUCGUGAGACAGGUUAGUUUUAUCCUACUGAUGAGCGGGUGCUGUGGCAGUAAUUGAGGUUAGUACGAGAGGAACCCCUGAUUCACGUAAUUGGUGUUGGGCUUGGCUGAGCAGGCAGUGGCCCGAAGCUAUACGUGUGGGUUUAGGGCUGAACGCCUCUAAGUCCGAAACCCUGCUGGAGGCGGCGUCAAGUUUGGGAGUGUAGUGAGAGUAGAGUGGGGUGGCGGUGCAUUCGUUGUUAGGGUGUGCUGUAGAGAGUAGUUCCUGGUGAGGUAUCUUUGGUAGACGACUGGAGUGCAGUGUGAGCUGUAAGCAUGAGAGUGGUGUGAGCUACGAUCUGCUGAGGC
rnacentral:rRNA from 1 species